CACCAUGUGAAGGGGCGGCGCCACCGCAGGAGGAGACGACCAGACGACCCUCCGUCCGCCCGUCCUCCUGACGAGUGCAUCGCCUGCCCUCCGCGGACUCCUCUGUCACCCGCGGACGUCACCUGCCGCCGCGGACGUCUCCUGCCGCGCGGGCGUCUCCUGUCGUCGCGGACGACUCCUGCCGUCGCGGACCUCGUCUGCCGGUCGGGGACUUCGCCUGCCGCCCGCGGAUUGAUC
rnacentral:lncRNA from 1 species